UCCCAGGAGGAAGGGGCGGCCAGGCCCGAGAGCGCCUCCCGCUCUGGGACCCAGAGCCCGUUCCGGACAAGUGAACUGAGGGGCUCUCCCAGCCAAAGGGAUCUUUAAUCCCAGUGGCUGGAUGCGGCCAUGGGGCAGCAGCCUUAGGACCUGCUAGAAGUGGCCAAAGACGAAUCCCAGCAGCAGCGCAUGGGGGCCAACGAGGACCUGAGCGAGGAGCUGAGCGACCUGCUCGACUUUAGUGCGGGAAAGAUUUGCCUUCAGCUAACAUCUGUUGCCAAUCUUCCUGUUUUUUUUUUCCUCCCCAAAGCCUCAGCACAUGGUCAUAUAUCCCAGUUGUAAGUCCUUCUAUCUCUUCAAUGUGAGCUGCCGCCACAGCAUGGCAACUGACAGGUGGGUGGUCUGGUUCUGUGACUGGGAAGCGAACGCAAGCUGCUGAAGUGAUGAUAACACUGAACUUUAACCACUAGGCCAUCAGGGCUGGCUUUGUUUUCCUUCUUAUAAGGUCUUUAAUUUUGGUAUCAGGGUAAUGUUGGUCUCAUAGAAUGAGUUGGGAAGUAUUGUAUUAUCAUCUAUUUUCUGGAAGAGUUUGUAUAGAAUUGUAAUUAUUUCUUACUUAAAUGCUUCUGAGAAUUCACCAGUGAAGACAUCUGGGCUCAAAGUUUUCUUUAUGGGAAUGUUUUUUAACUACAGAUUAAUUUUUGUAAUAGUUAUGGGGCUAUUCAGGUUAUUGAUUUCUUCUUGAAUGAGCUUUGAUAGUUUGUGUAUCGUAAG